rnacentral:rRNA from 1 species
CCCUGGCUCAGGAUGAACGCUAGCGGCAGGCUUAACACAUGCAAGUCGAGGGGUAUAGGUUUUCGGACCAAGAGACCGGCGCACGGGUGCGUAACGCGUAUGCAAUCUACCUUUUGCAGAGGGAUAGCCCAGAGAAAUUUGGAUUAAUACCUCAUAGUAUAGCAGUUUCGCAUGAAACCACUAUUAAAGUCACAACGGCAAAAGAUGAGCAUGCGUCCCAUUAGCUAGUUGGUAAGGUAACGGCUUACCAAGGCUACGAUGGGUAGGGGUCCUGAGAGGGAGAUCCCCCACACUGGUACUGAGACACGGACCAGACUCCUACGGGAGGCAGCAGUGAGGAAUAUUGGACAAUGGGCGCAAGCCUGAUCCAGCCAUGCCGCGUGCAGGAUGACGGUCCUAUGGAUUGUAAACUGCUUUUGUACAGGAAGAAACACUUCCCUUCGUGAGGGAGCUUGACGGUACUGUAAGAAUAAGGAUCGGCUAA